rnacentral:rRNA from 1 species
GACGAACGCUGGCGGCGUGCUUAACACAUGCAAGUCGAACGAUGAAGCCUAGCUUGCUAGGUGGAUUAGUGGCGAACGGGUGAGUAAUACGUGAGUGACCUACCUUUGACUCUGGGAUAAGCCUGGGAAACUGGGUCUAAUACCGGAUACGACCAAUCUCCGCAUGGGGUGUUGGUGGAAAGCGUUAUGGAGUGGUUUUAGAUGGGCUCACGGCCUAUCAGCUUGUUGGUGAGGUAAUGGCUUACCAAGGCGACGACGGGUAGCCGGCCUGAGAGGGUGACCGGCCACACUGGGACUGAGGCACGGCCCAGACUCCUACGGGAGGCAGCAGUGGGGAAUAUUGCACAAUGGGCGCAAGCCUGAUGCAGCGACGCCGCGUGAGGGAUGACGGCCUUCGGGUUGUAAACCUCUGUUAGCAUCGAAGAAGCGAAAGUGACGGUAGGUGCAGAGAAAGCGCCGGCUAACUACGUG